rnacentral:lncRNA from 1 species
UGACGAGGAUUCCCGUGGGGAAGACAACAGUGCCGCUCCUUCGUCCGUCCUGCAUCGUCAAGAUCCUCCGCGGCGCCCGCUCCUAGGCGGGUCGGUCGGGCACCUCCUUAGCUGGUCGUCGGCGUGCCGCGGCUGCGGAUCCGAUGCGCGGUGGCGGAGAUGGGCAUUGCGGUAGCGCGGGCGCCUUCCUCCAGUGACGCCGUAGCAGCAACUGCUCCCGAGCGGGCGUUCUGGCACUGCUACUACCGACGUUUUUCUCUAUUUUUUCUUUAUUUUUGCUGAAAUCUUGUCCUAAUUGAUGGUACAUGCAAACCAUGCUUUCUAAAUAUAAUUAGGACAUGGAUUUGCUCUGAAAAUUCCAUUGAUUUAAUUUCCCUCCGUAUAUGAUUUUAGUUUUACCAUUUUUCUGGAUUUAUUUUUUGACCCGAUUGGACUUGAUCAUUUGACUAAUCGAUGAUGGUUGAAACAGGCCCAAUAUAUGUGGCAUGGUAUCGCAUAGAUGCGUGAUGGAGUGAAGGGAGAGCAGCAUCUCGUCGGGGCUAACAUAAUUUUCAUAUGGGGUAAAAAUUAUAAAAUAUGAAAGUAUAUCGGAAAAGGCGUUUUCGGUAGACUGAAUUAACGCUUUUUCGAUCAGAAAUUUCGGUAACUACUAGAGUUGCUCUCAACACGUAACUACGUGCAAAAGACACCACUUUUAAAAACUUAAGCUAGCAUGUUUUUUAAUUUCUUUUCUUCGG